AGUGAACGCUGGCGGUAGGCCUAACACAUGCAAGUCGAACGGCAGCACAGUAAGAGCUUGCUCUUACGGGUGGCGAGUGGCGGACGGGUGAGGAAUACAUCGGAAUCUACUUUUUCGUGGGGGAUAACGUAGGGAAACUUACGCUAAUACCGCAUACGACCUACGGGUGAAAGCAGGGGAUCUUCGGACCUUGCGCGAUUGAAUGAGCCGAUGUCGGAUUAGCUAGUUGGCGGGGUAAAGGCCCACCAGGGCGACGAUCCGUAGCUGGUCUGAGAGGAUGAUCAGCCACACUGGAACUAGGACACGGUCCAGACUCUUACGGGAGGCAGCAGUGGGGAAUAUCGGACAAUGGGCGCAAGCCUGAGCCAGCCAUACCGCGUGGGUGAAGAAGGCUUUCGGGUUGUAAAGCCCUUUUGUUGGGAAAGAAAAGCAGCAGGUUAAUACCCCGCUGUUCGGACGGUACCCAAAGAAUAAGCACCGGCUAACUUCGU
rnacentral:rRNA from 1 species